GGAUGUGAGGGCAGUCUGGCUGCAACAUCUGUCAGCCUAUUGUUUGCUAGGGUUGAUUUGGCACAUCUGGCUGGCUAGGCGGGUGUCCACUUCCUCCCUCACCAGUCCAUGUGCGUCCCUGCCGAAGCUACGUGCUCAAAGAGCAUGACCAUUCCUGAUAGAGGAGGGUCAGUCUUUGGUCAAGAGUAUACAAAUAGCUGCAUUCUCCUGCAGCUACUCCAAACAAGCUCUCGUUAGUUGUAUGCCUUGAAUAUUAAUAAGAUCCCGAGGUCAGGUACAACUUUGUCUUCUGUAUUACCCACAACACUUGACACGGUUCUGAGUACAUAGUAGGUGUUCAA
rnacentral:snRNA from 1 species